rnacentral:lncRNA from 1 species
UGGCACAUUCUGCCCCCUACCCUAAAUGCCCGGAGCAGGGACUGGGCUGGACUGCCCUUCCUCCAACUGCUCCUCUCUGAGUAACCCAGCCUAUUGUUUGUGUUUUUGUUUUGUUUUGUUUUUGUUUUGUUUUGUUUUUGUCUCUUAGCCACUCCCUCUUUCCCCUCUCCUCACAUAGCCUGGCUCGGUCCUGCCUUAUUCACUCUGGGCUCUCCCAGAUAUCUCUGCUUCUAGGUAUUUUCUCCUUCAGAGCUACAAUAAACCUUCUCCUCCAAUCAUACCUAGGACCUGGCAUUCCCUCCCUUUUACUUGCUCCCCACCACCCCCCAAUUCAUUCAGGAAGAAAGAAAUGAAGGACAACACCAACGGUGCUCAGAUAUAAUAGAGAAAGCACACUGCGCAGUCUUCAUAGCCUGCGGUGCCGCUGCUCUGGAUACAACAGCAGGACAUGGAAACAGACGAGAUGGCCAUCAGCUGAUGAAUGGAAAAUGAAGAUAUGGCACCUAUGUAAAAUGGAAUGUUAUCUAGAUGUAAAGAAAAAUGAAAUUUGCAAAUAGAUGAAUGGAGCUGGAGAACACUCUACUGAGUGAGAAACUGAACUGCGUUGACCACACUGACAGCAAAAACUGUACAAACUCACCUGACCUGAACUACGUUCAACCUGAACUCAGUUUGAAUCAGUUAGCUUGGAGAAGACUUUGAACAAGAACGCCUAAGUUGAACCAGCCAGCCAGAGUUCAGAAAGAAGUCGAAGACACACAGGCAAACAAACGAAGAAGAAGAAGAAGAAGAAGAAGAAGAAGAAGAAGAAGAAGAAGAAGAAGAAGAAGAAGAAGAAUAGGAAGAAGAAGAAUAGGAAGAAGAAGAAUAGGAAGAAGAAGAAUAGGAAGAAGAAGAAUAGGAAGAAGAAGAAGCUUUAAAAAAAAAGACAACAUACACACACUUACAACCAAUAAAAACACAGAUAAAGAAAAUUCCACAAAACUGAACAUGUAUAAAGAAAGACAAAUCUGUUUGCUUCAGUCAAACAUGGAGCACACAUGGGAGCACAAUUGACUCCCACACCUCCUUGCUGGCUUAGCCGGCUCUUUCAAUGUACGCAUUAAAAAAAGGAAAAAAGAAAAUGAGAGAGAGAGAGAGAGAGAGAGAGAGAGAGAGAGAGAGAGAGAGAAAUAAAUGGCCAUGAACUGGAGGCAGCACACUCAUCUCUCUAGACUACUUGGGGAUUGAUCAGGUCCAAUGCAGCCAAAUUGAACUGACCCUAAUCGAUCUGAGUUAACACCUCCAGCAAUUAAACAUUGUUCUGACCCAUGCACACAUUGGAGAAAGCAUGAAAAACAAGAUGAAUUGAGACAGAACUACAAAUCCAGGGAAAGAGAACAUCUGUUAAGUUCGACUUUACUGGAACUCACCAUUCUGUCUGGAACAUUUCAAAAACAUUCUCUUCUUACUAUUACAAAUCAGCUAUUAAUUCAAAAUUUGUCUAAUGCAUGUGAAUCAUUUACUUUGACAGGCUCCAAU